UACGAAGGGGGCUAGCGUUGCUCGGAAUCACUGGGCGUAAAGCGCACGUAGGCGGAUUGUUAAGUCAGGGGUGAAAUCCUGGAGCUCAACUCCAGAACUGCCUUUGAUACUGGCAAUCUCGAGUUCGGGAGAGGUGAGUGGAACUGCGAGUGUAGAGGUGAAAUUCGUAGAUAUUCGCAAGAACACCAGUGGCGAAGGCGGCUCACUGGCCCGAUACUGACGCUGAGGUGCGAAGGCGUGGGGAGCAAACAGG
rnacentral:rRNA from 1 species